rnacentral:rRNA from 1 species
UGAGGAAUUUUGCGCAAUGGGCGAAAGCCUGACGCAGUGACGCCGCGUGGAGGAAGACGGCCUUCGGGUUGUAAACUCCUGUCAGAGGUGAAGAACACCCGCAAGGGCUUGACGGUAACCUCAGAGGAAGCCCCGGCUAACUACGUGCCAGCAGCCGCGGUAAUACGUAGGGGGCGAGCGUUGCUCGGAAUUACUGGGCGUAAAGGGAGUGCAGGCGGCCGGUUAAGUCGAAGAUGAAAUCCCGAGGCUCAACUUCGGAACGGUCUUCGAUACUGAUCGGCUUGAGGCUAAUUGAGGAGAGCGGAAUUCCCGGUGGAGCGGUGAAAUGCGUAGAUGUCGGGAGGAACACCAGAGGCGAAGGCGGCUCUCUAAACUAGUCCUGACGCUGAGACUCGAAAGCUAGGGGAGCAAACGG